AACGAACGCUGGCGGCAGGCCUAACACAUGCAAGUCGAACGCAUCGCAAGAUGAGUGGCGCACGGGUGAGUAACACGUGGGAAUGUAUCCUUUGGUUCGGAAUAACGUCUGGAAACGGACGCUAAUACCGGAUGAGCCCUUAGGGGGAAAGAUUUAUCGCCGAAGGAGCAGCCCGCGUCUGAUUAGGUAGUUGGUGGGGUAAAGGCCUACCAAGCCGACGAUCAGUAGCUGGUCUGAGAGGAUGAUCAGCCACACUGGGACUGAGACACGGCCCAGACUCCUACGGGAGGCAGCAGUGGGGAAUAUUGGACAAUGGGCGCAAGCCUGAUCCAGCCAUGCCGCGUGAGUGAUGAAGGCCUUCGGGUUGUAAAGCUCUUUCGCACACGACGAUGAUGACGGUAGUGUGAGAAGAAGCCCCGGCUAACUUCGUGCCAGCCGCCGCCGUAAUAC
rnacentral:rRNA from 1 species